rnacentral:tRNA from 1 species
GGCUAGUUGGUCUAGGGGUAUGAUUCUCGCUUAGGGUGCAAGAGGUCCUGGGUUCAAAUCCCAGACGAGCCC